CCCCCCCCCCACGCCUGUUGGGUACCCGCGUCCUCCUCCCAGCCAGGGCUUUGUCAAAAACCCUAAAAGCCUCCAAGGAUGGAGAGUCCGCCACCUCCCCAGGGAUCCCAUUCCAGCGCUUCACCCCCCGCCCCGUGAAAUCGUGUUUCCGAAUAUCCAGCCUAGACCUCCCCCCUGCAACUUGAGACCAUUGCUCCUUGUUCUGUCAUCUGCCACCCCUGGGAACAGCCCAGCUCCAUCCUCUCUGGAGCCCCCCUUCGGGUAGCUGAGGGCUGCUAUCAAAUCCCCCCCGCACUCUUCUCUUCUGCAGACUAGACAAGCCCAGUUCCCUCAGCCUCUCCUUGUAAUUCCUGUGCCCCAGCCGCCUCAUGAUUUUCAUUGCCCUCCGCUGGACUCUCUCCAUAUAUCAGGCUGGAGUCCUGUUAUAAAGAAACAUGCUUUUGCAAGCACAUAAUACUAUGGUGAUCAGUAAUGAUUAGAAAGUAAUGGUUUAAUGAGGGAGAAGAAGUAACAGGUAAAAGAAUGAGAUGAAAUGUAAUUAAGGGGAGCUUGUAAUAGCUAAUCAGACUAGCAUAGCAUGGCAGGGUAGGGGUGAAAAGCACAUUGCUUGGCUCAUUUAAAACUUGCCUCCAUACAGCACUAGAAAAUGUAGGAGUUGAAUAGAGAUCAGGUGAGAUUUUUCUUAUCCUCAGAUGGUUACCAGUAUGUUGCUAUGUUGCCAAAUAAGAGUGGAGAGUAUGUAAACAAAUUUCCACAACCUUUCCUGACAGAAGUGAAGAAGCCCAUUAGCUGGUAUUAUACAGAACAGAGAGCAUUUGUGCAUUAGUCCCAGAGUAGAUGAACUAGAUCUUCUCCUGGCAAUAGAGGAAGGUAAAAUGUCUUUCCUAGAUUUAUCAAGAGAUUUUGGUAACUUGAGUCCACAACAUUUUGUUGAUUUGCCUUCAGAAUUUCACAAGUGGGCGGCUUUAGGUAGAUUCUUUCCUUCCUUUUUGGAGAUCUUAGAGAAGGUGAUGGGUACUUGCCACUAUGCUUUACCUAGGAAACUCCUGGUGGUCCGUAAAGCUGCAGCUUUUCAUUGCUCCUGUUCAAUAUGCAUGUAUGACCAUUAGGAACAUAGUAAGAGUAUCUACAGCACCUUCUAUGUUGGUUGAGUAUCAAGCUCAGUGAAAAUCUUGAAUAUGGAAAUUUCUAUGCUUUCCCACUGCCUAAGAGAGGUAGAGAAGUCCAUAUAACAAACUAGGUACAGUUGAAGUGAUGCUAAUAUGAGAAGAAGCCUAUGCUGACAAACUGGAGAGUUCAGAAAAGAACUACAAUGAUUAGAAGUCUGAAAAACCUGCCUUCAGUGAAACUGUUAAAGUAAAUAGAUUUUCUUUAAAGACAAGAUUAAGAAGUGACUUGACCGUGGUCUACAAGUACCUGCUCAGGGAGAAGAAUUUGAUAGGGGUUUUUAAAGCUAGGAGACAAAAGAAUAAGGGCCAAUAGCUUGAAGCUGAAGCUAGACAAAUUUAGGCUACAAAUGAGAGGCAGAUUUGUAAUGGUUACGGUAAUUAGCCAUUGGAACAACUUACAAAGGGAUGUGGUAUAUUAUCCAUCACUUGAAGUCUUUAAAUUAUGAUUGCUUGUCUUUCUAAAAGAUGUGUUUCUAGCUCAACUAGAAGUUAUGGGUUUGAUGCAGGAGUUGGUGAAAUUCUCUCACCUGUGUUAUGCAGGUCAAGAUAGUCAUAAUGGUCCCUUCCAGGCUUAAAAAAUCUGUGAAGCAUUUAAAUAAAUUGGAUGGGGUGAAAGUGCAAUUUUAUCAAGUGUGGAUGUGGACCUAUGUUGAUGCAAUUCAGAGCUCAUGAGGACAGAAGGGUGUUUUGAAGCUCUGAAGGAAACCCCACCACAAGCCAGGGUUUGUACCAUGAACCUACAGCACAGGCUGCUACCACUUGAGCUCCAGGGCUAACUUAACUGGCAGCAGGAGGCUGUCAUCCCAGAGGGAGGAUGGACUUCUGGGUCCAUGAAGAAUGGAGUUAAAUCCAGCCUAGCCUUCUGUUCAUCUCCAGGACUUGGCAUUCCUGCUUCAUAUGGUGAAUCCGGGGGAUGGUGCAACUGGAGCCAGGUUACUCUGCAAUUCUACACUGCUUGGAAGAGGGUAAAAAACAAAAAAUCUGUCAAGUAUCUUGCUGAAUUAGACUACUGGGUUUAAAAUUUGUAACAAUGGCUGAACAGAGACAGACGUUAUUAAAUCCAAACCAGGAGGUAAAUCAUUUGAAACUUGCUGGGAACAUUCAAAAGAAUUUAACGAUAUCCAGUUUGGACAAAGUUGUUGUAUUUCGUGCU